AAUAUUUGUCAAUGGGGGCAACCCUGAUCCAGCCAUGCCGCGCGUGUGAAGAAGGUCUUCGGAUUGUAAAGCACUUUAAGUUGGGAGGAAGGGCUUUAGGUUAAUACCCUGAAGUUUGGACGUUACCAACAGAAUAAGCACCGCCUAACACCGUUCUGGCAGCCGCGGUUAUAACGAGGGUGCAAGCGUUAACCGGAAUUACUGGGAGUAAAGCGCGCGUAGGUGGUUCAGUAAGAUGGGUGUGAAAUCCCCGGGCUUAACCUGGGAACUGCUUUCAUAACUGCUGAGCUAGAGUACGGUAGAGGGUAGUGGAAUUUCCUGUGUAGCGGUAAAAUGCGUAGAUAUAGGAAGGAACACCAGUGGCGAAGGCGACUACCUGGACUGAUAAUGACACUGAGGUGCGAAAGCGUGGGGAGCAA
rnacentral:rRNA from 1 species